UUACUUUUUUAAAUCAUAACUUUUUCAUGUUAAUUCUGAUUUUAACACAUAGCAUGUCUACGAACUCGUAAUAACGUCCUUUACGACUUUUAUGAAGAAAGUUUUCCCAAAUUCCAAACACAAGAAAAAGUCAACUCUAGGGUCCUUAAGUGAUAAACGGUUACUUAACACGGUAAAAGACCAAAAUAAUACCAAAGUAAAUAACCGUAAAAUAACUUAAGAACCAGGGUGUGACAAGAACUCUCGGGCGCGAUAUCUCCCUCACUGUGGCGCUAAAGAGGCUGCCACCGGUCCAGGAAGAAAAAGGAGAUGAUGGCCGACCGUUUGGGACCGGUGCGGCGGUCUGCGGUGGCCGGACGGCGGCGGACGGUCGCGUUGAAGAUCCGGCAGGGAGAGAGCUCGGGGAGGGAGUUGGGAGAGAGAAGAAGAAUGAGAAAAGAGAGAGAGAAAAAGGUUUUGGCUUCCAAACCGGUUCCAGCCCACUUAAAACCCAACUCCAACAAUAAAACAACCCAAAAUAAUACCCUACUAAAAAUUACCUUUUUACUAGCUAAAAUUUACCCUUUUACAGUCGUCAAUUAUUUCUUAUACUAAAAUUCCUCCAAAAUAAUCUUCCCUCAAAACCCCUCUAAGGCUUUGAAACUAUAAACUCAUUAACGAAGAUGGUAAAACUCUUAUUAAUACCAAGCUAGUAAAUAAGGUAAAAAUUUAAGAGUCGGGAUAUGACAACCAACAUAAACAAAAGCUACUACCCCUAUAUACAAAAACUACUACCGCCAGACAUAAAAGCUAUUGCCCCCAUCAAUAUAAGCUACUACCAUUACUAACAAAACCUACUACUGUAACUGAUAAAAGCUACUACCGUCACUGACAAAAACUACUACAAGAUAUUUUCUCAACCAUAAAAGCAAACAAACAAUUAUUAGAACACUACUACAGAUUUGUCAACACACAACGGUGGAUAGGUUUUCCGUUGUAUGUCUCGGGCUUGUCUGAUUGAAUCUUCAGACAAGUGUGAAAAUCACCGUUGUGUGAUCAUAUUUUGCUCAACAGUUCAAUACUUUCAUUGUAUAAGUCGCUGCGCAGAUCGAUGCCAUGCGCGGCAUGCGCGGCAUCGACAAGUCCACUCAGACAACAAACAAUAUAACAUUUUCGUUGUACUUUUACCCCUUUCAGACAACUGUUGGUUUUCAUUUCCUCCGUUGUGUGUUUUUCAGUAAGCUACAAUGGUUUAUUCCCUAUCUUUACUGUUGUGUGACGUUGAAUAACCUACAACUGAAAUAUUUGGACCGUUGUAUCACACAAUAGAUAUAGCAUUNNNN
rnacentral:lncRNA from 1 species